AUCGUCUUCUCCUUCUCUCUCUACAGCUGCUGCCUCUUGUGCUUCUUCGCGUGCUCAUUCGUCACCGUCUAUAACCAAUCAGUGCCGAUCUUUCAGCUUCUCCUCCGUGUUUCGUUCUGUUCCGCGGUGGAAUAACGGCGUCGAUUGGAAGUCUCCGGCAACUCUGACUUUGAGCGAAGGAUCGCCACCAUGGCAUCCGAGCAUGCUUUCAAAGGAAUAUUGACUGGUCUUCUCAAGCCAGGACGUGGCUAGUUUGGAAAAUUCUAGAACUUGCCCGCUCUGAAUGAUCCAAGGAUCGAUAUGCUGCCAUACUCUAUUAGGAUCCUUCUUGAAUCAGCAAUUCGUAAUUGUGACAACUUCCAAGUCACUAAGGAAGAUGUUGAGAAGAUAAUUGAUUGG